AUGAAGUUCGGGAAGAGGCUCAAGAGGCAGGUGGAGGAGAGCCUCCCUGGGUGGAGGGACCAGUUCCUGGCGUACAAGCGCCUCAAGGUUCUCGUCCGACUCGUCUCCGGCUCCUCGCCUCACCGUGCCGCGGCGGAGGCUGCUUUCGCGCGGCUCCUCAACGACGAGGUCGACAGGUUCAACUCCUUCUUCCUCGAGCAGGAGGAAGAGUUCAUCAUCCGCCACAGGGAAGUAAGGGAGACGGUGAAGGCAGUGGCCGGCAAGGAGCUGUCGGAGGCGGAGUGUGCGACCCAGAUGAGGAAGGUGAGGAGAGAGAUCGUGGAUUUGCACGGUGAAAUGGUGCUGCUCCUCAACUACAGCGCCGUCAACUACACAGGAGAGCUAGGGCUACGGCAACCACACGACAAGCAUACGGGGCGGCUAUUCCGGCUGCCCUUCAUCGAGGAGAUGCUCAAGCAGCCCUUCUACACGACGGAGCUCAUGUCGAGGCUCGUCCGCGAAUGCGAGGAGAGCAUGGAGGCCGUGUUCGCCUCCGACAACAGUACUAACCCGUGCACGAGGAAGCGCUGCACCGACAAUGAGAUGACUUCCAUGUCAACAGAGCAGGGAAUCCUUAGGAACACCGUCGCGGCACUGGUGGCCAUGAGGGAGCUCCGCAGCGGAAGCUCCACGUACGGGCACUUCUCGCUACCACCCUUGGCAACGGAGGCCACCUUGACGGAGCAUGUGUCCAUCCACGUUGCCGAUCUCCUUCAAUCUGAGGCACGUGGUGUUGUUCGGCUUGUUUGA
rnacentral:rRNA from 1 species